rnacentral:rRNA from 1 species
CCUACGGGUGGCAGCAGUGGGGCAUAUUGGGCAAUGGGCGCAAGCCUGACCCAGCAACGCCGCGUGAAGGAAGAAGGCUCUCGGGUUGUAAACUUCUUUUCUCAGGGACGAAGCAAGUGACGGUACCGGAGGAAUAAGCCACGGCUAACUACGUGCAAGCAGCCGCGGCAAUACGUAGGUGGCACGCGUUAUCCGGAUUUACUGGGUGUAAAGGGCGUGUAGGCGGGACUGCAAGUCAGAUGUGAAAACCACGGGCUCAACCUGUGGCCUGCAUGUGAAACUGUAGUUCUUGAGGACUGGAGAGGCAGACGGAAUUCCUAGUGUAGCGGUGAAAUGCGUAGAUAGUAGGAGGAACACCAGUGGCGAAGGCAGUCUGCUGGACAGCAACUGACGCCGAGGCGCGAAAGCGUGGGGAGCAAACAGGAUUAGAUACACUGGUAGUC